UUAAGAUUGGACCUUCUAGUUUAAAUGCCGAUCUUUCGUGCUUGGCAGAUGAAUGUAACAGGCUGUUCGAAUGUGGAGCAGACUACCUUCACCUGGAUGUUCUGGAUAGCCAUUUUGUGCCAAAUUUGACAUUUGGUGCUGACCUUUGGUAAAAUGUUUGAGAAAGAAAGUUCCAAAUGCCUUUUUUGAUAUGCAUAUGAUGGUUGCCAAUCCAGAGAAGGUAGAAGACUACUUUUCCACGAUAAUUUGAGAGCACUUGAAAUGUUUUUCAAGCAAAGGUUUUCUUUUAACAUGUUAAGUAUGUUUUAAGAGUCAACAAAAAAUGGCUCGUAAUUCUUUAUUGGAUAGUGGGUGGAUGACAUGGCAGAUGCAGGGGCUGACCAGAACACCUUUCACUUUGAAGCAACAGGUCAGGCAUGAUUGAGCUUAGAAUUUAUUGAUCAAAAAUUAUUUAAAUUUGAUUGACUGAUUGACCUAUAGUAGAACAAUUAACUUGCAAAUCCACUCUAAAUUCCGAAUCUUAAUAAAAUUAAAUGCAUUUCCAGUGGACUUGAUUAACCAAAUCAAAAAGGCUGGCAUGAAGGUCCUGUAGUUGAUUUCCACAAAAUUUAGUACCUUGAUAGAAUUUUAUGAAGUUGAUUGAAGCACAUCCAUAUGAUGUUCAUUUCAUCCCAUUUAAUAUAAAUUGUUAGCAUUUAUUAGGAAUACCUGUUUUUUUUUUGUCUUGCAUCUGGCUCUCAAACUCUACCAAAUAAACUAUGAUAGACAGAUUAAUUCUCCUUUGAAAUGUUCCUGUGUUCCCCUGUACAUGUGAAAUAGUGGAUUAAGUUGAUUAUGCAUUUAUUUAAAAUUAUAUAGUGACACUGAGGAGUUUUUUCCAAUCACCUUCUCUUUGGAUAGCUCCCAGUAAAACAAUUUCUUUUUCAUCUCUUUUGUUCUAAAAGUACAUUUUACAAUAUAAACAACUCUCAUAAUUAAUAUUUUGGUUUGUGGUCAUUUUGAUGCACAUUUACAGGGGUUUCAUUAAAGGCCAGUAACUGGCAGUCUUCCACCACCUGUGAGACCUCU